AUGCAGAUGCAGUCACAGUCCGGCCAGUCGGAACAGUUUCAAGAGUGCUUUCGUCCAGACAUUGCCAGCACUGUGAAGGAGUACUCAUCUGUUGACUUGGACGAAUCCAAGUACUUCCAGAUUGACCCCCUUGAUGUUGAUGAUUUCGAUUUCAAGAAUUAUGGGCAAGAGUUGAAGGAACCAGAGGAUUUGAAGAUCUUAGAGGGAUGCAUGUCAGAUACUUACCAGAAUAUCUUGAAGAGGAUUGCUCAGCUAAAGGAACUUGGGAACUUUGGUAAAGUUCCUAGCAGGAGGAAGCGGUGGAAGAGAGAGUUGGAGCUGGAACCAUGGGAUAAUGCCCAGACCAAGAACAAACCCCUCGAGGAGGAAGCAGAUAUUGACAUUGGCUAUGAUGCACCUCCUCCAUCCUUUACUGCUGGAGUGGAUUUGCAGAAGCAGAGGCGAGCACGGAUUGAAGCUGCUAAGUGUCGGAUCAAUGAAAUUAUGAAGGCUCCUGCUACUCGUAUUGCAAAUGCAAUUGAUUCACCGUCUGCUCUUGGACAAGAAGAUGUCUGUCCACCACAAAAAAAUAUCAGGAAAAAUCAAUGGCGAAAGAGACGAAAUGAAAAGGAUCAUCUGACAGAGAUUUCAAAUGCUCCGGACUGUGUGAAUUAG
rnacentral:rRNA from 1 species